GUGUGCAGGGUGCGUAUUGUGUGCUUCGUGCCUGCGAGCAGUGGUGUGUGGACACGCAGGGACACAGCUUUGAGUGUUGGGUGUAUGUCGCUGAGUGUGUGAAGAUGUGACGUUUGCAUGUGUUUGUCGGCUGCGUCCACGUGCGUAGGGCUGGUGUGGUGUGUCCUCCUGGAUGUGGGAAUGUGUGCAUGACGUGUGUGCGCAGUGAACGUGUUUGCUUCGGCGGGGAGGUCCGUGUAGAUCCUGUGUCUGGUGUGGGGUGGAAUGUGCAGACGCCAAUCAUGUCAGGAGUGGACAGUGUGUUGUGGUGCUUGUGUGACGUCUAACUCUGUGUGUGACGUCCAACUCCGCGUGUGAUGUCCAACUCCACGUGUGACGUCUAAUCCGUGUGUGACGUCCAACCCCGCGUGUGGGUGACCCGUGGUCUCUUGGCAAAAUCCAUGGCGUUUGCGGUGCAUGUGUAAGCGGUGCACUGUAUGCGCUGUUUGGUGUGUGUGGGAUGUGCUCAUGUCCUCGGCGAGCAGCGCGAAGGCCGUGCGUGCGUGUGUGCGGGUGUGUGUGUGUGCGCGCGCGCGCGUGUGUGUGUUCCGCGAGGCGCCGAGAUGUGCCGUGCCUUGCGCAUGCUCCGUGUGCGGGAGCUUGGGCUCUGCUCGGCGGCGAGAUGGCUGUCAUCCGGGCCGAAAGCCCGCUGUGCUGUCGCCUGAGCUGAGCAAUGGAGGCUAGAAUACAAUGGAAUUGUAUCUCCAUUGCCACACCAUGCCACAAGGAAGGGGCAUGUGUUUUACAAGGAGAGGCCACAUGUAGGUGUCUGGCAGCCCCAGCUGAGGCUCCAUUCAACAGCCAGCACCAGCCUCCAGCCAGCAAACGGAAGCUGAGAUGGGCUCAGCGUGAGCUGCGGAGGAGGCAGCACAUGACCAGGAACGGCCAGCGCAGGGACCACCGGGCGCGGGAGGAUGAAGAGGAGCCUGUCUGUCAGCAGACGUGGGACCUGCACGCCUUGGUACAGUGCGUAGGUGGCACUUCACCUUGAAGGCGCCGUGGUGUCCUACAUACGGUCUCUGGAGUUCAAUAGACUCCAAGUUCAAACUCCAGGUCAGCUAUUGUUUUAAAAAUAUAUUUGUUAUUGAUUACAGAGAGGAAGGGAGAGGGAGAGAGAGAGAAAUAUCUAUGAUGAGAGAGAACCAUUGAUUGGCUGCCUCCUGCACACGCUCCACUGGGGAUCGAGUCUGCAACAUGGGCAUGUGCCCUGACCAGGAAUCGAACUGUGACCUCCUGGUUCAUAGGUCGACGCUCAACCACUGAACCACACUGGCAGGGCUCCAGGUCAGCUAAUUUAAAAGCUGUGAGACCUCAGGCAAAUUACCCUCUCUGGGCCUUAAUUUCUUCAUCUGUGAAAUGGGGAUAACAGUACCAGCCUCGUGUGUGGGAAUUAAAUGAAAUAACUGUUAGGUGUUUAACACAGGAUCUGGCUCAUCGCAGUCACUCGCUGAAUGUGAACUCUCUCUUUUCCUCCCCUUGGGACCCGGAGCACCGCUUUCCCAGUGGUGAGAUGUGUUGGGGCAAAGAUCCUGUGACCAGAGGUGGUAAGGCUUCUCACCCCAAUUACUCACACCCUCAAAGGAGUUCCCUGCCUCAGGGCUUUGCACCUUGCAAAGGUGAAGCAAGCCUGCAUGGGUCCAGAGCCGCCAGAUGGUCCGUCCCGCCUCACCCUUUUUCAAUCCCUAAAAAUCUGCAAAACAGAGAAUUAGACCGCAAAUGGUUUGGAGUCAUAACCACGAAACGUGCACGUUAGAAAUCGAUGAACAGAAACAUGUGGUGCAGCAACACUGAAGCAAUGCUCCUGGGCGGGCCCCCUCGUUUUACGAGUUCACUGACAGUGUGAACCCCAGGCAGACCUCCCCCCUGAAGACUGGCGGUCCUGGGCAGCUCAGGCAGCCUGGCAGCUCUGCACAGCGGGAAUGCCGGGAAU